rnacentral:lncRNA from 1 species
UGGGAUCCUCCUAACUACUCCUGGUCGUCGUCGUCAGCCUGCACGUAGUAGUAGGCACCUCCAAUGUAGUAGUCGUCAUCGACGCUGGCUCCUGGCUCCUGGACUCCAGCAUCUGGUUGCGACAACCAGAAAGAAAGGAAAGGGGAAAAAGGGGGGAGAAAGCAACCGUGAGUACUCAUCCAAAGUACUCGCAAGCAAGGAACUACACUACAUAUGCAUGGGUAUAUGUGUAAGGAGGCCAUAUCAGUGGACUGAACUGCAGAAUGCCAGAAUAAGAGGGGGAUAGCUAAUCCUGUCGAAGACUACGCUUCUCGCAGCCACCGUCUUGCAUCAAGUAAAAGAGAGUAGAUUGAAGUCCUCCAAGUAGCAUCUCCAAAUAGCAUCUCAUAGCAUAAUCCUACCCGGCGAUCCCCUCCUCAUAUCCCUGAGGUAGAGCGACCACCGGUUGUAUCUGGCACUUGGAAGGGUGUGUUUUAUUAAGUAUCCGGUUCUAGUUGUCAUAAGGUCAAGGUACAACUCCAAGUCGUCCUGUUACCGAAGAUCACGGCUAUUCGAAUAGAUUAACUUCCCUGCAGGGGUGCACCACAUUCCCCAACACGCUCGAUCCCAUUUGGCCGGACACACUUUCCUGGGUCAUGCCCGGCCGCGGAAGAUCAACACGUCGCAGCCCCACCUAGGCAAAACAGAGAGGCCAGCACGCCGGUCUAAACCUAAGCGCACAGGGGUCUGGGCCCAUCGCCCAUAGCACACCUGCACGUUGCGAGGGCGGCCGAAAGCAGACCUAGCCUAGUGGCGUUCCAGUCCAAUUCGGCGCGCGCCGCUCCGUCGCUGACGUCUGAAGUGCUUCGGCUGAUACCACGACGUCGGGAUACCCAUAACUACUCCCACGUAGAUGGUUAGUGCGUAUAGGCUCGUAGCCGACUCAGAUCAAAUACCAAGAUCUCGUUAAGCGUGUUAAGUAUCCGCGAACACCGAACAGGGCCAGGCCCACCUGUCUCCUAGGUGGUCUUAACCUGCCCUGUCGCUCCGCCACAAAGUAACCGUCGGGGACCGUCGGGAACCCAGGCCCACCUCUACCGGGAUGGAGCCACCUGUCCUUUCAGCCCCCAACUCCGUACAGUAUCACAGGUAAUGUAACAGUGUAAAGUAUAUAGUAUAUGCCCGUGAUCACCUCCCGAAGUGAUCACAGCCCAGUAGUAUAGCAUGGCAGACGGACAAGAGUGUAGGGCCACUGAUGGAACACUAGCAUCCUAUACUAAGCAUUUAGGAUUGCGGGUAAGGUAUCAAUGACUGUAGCAGCAAUGACAGGCUAUGCAUCAGAAUAGGAUUAACGGAAAGCAGUAACAUGCUACACUACUCUAAUGCAAGCAGUAUAGAGUAGAAUAGGCGAUAUCUGUUGAUCAAAGGGGGGGCUUGCCUGGUUGCUCUGUCAAGAGAGAGGGGUCGUCAACUCCGUAGUCGAACUAGUCAGCAGCAGCGUCGGUCUCGUAGUCUACCGGAGAGAAGAGGGGGAAGAAAUAAUGAAUACAGAGCAAACAAAGCAUCACAAAAUAUAACAAGGCAAUACGCGGUGUUCGGUGUGCCCUAACGCGGUAGUAGGUGAUACCGGUGAAGGGGGAAAAACAUUCGGGAAAGUAUUCCCGGGGUUUCGUGUUUUCGGGCAGAGGAGCCGGAGGGGGAAAGUUGCGGGUUCGAUAGGUUAGGGGUGUGCGGCGGACGAACGGACCACGUAUCCGGAUUCGUCUCGUCGUUCUGAGCAACUUUCAUGUAGAAAGUAUUUUCAUCCGAAUUACGGAUUAAAAGAUAUGAUUUUCUAAAGAUUUAAAUCAUUUUCUGAUUUUAAUUAUUUAUUUAAAUUCAACAUUAUCCAAAACAGUGUUUGCUGACGUCAUCAUGACGUCAGCGAUGUUGACUGGUCAACUGACGUGUGGGUCCCACUAGUCAUUGACUGUUUAGUCUAAUUAGUGUGUAACUAAUCUAACUACUAUUUAAUUAAACUAAUUAGUUAGUUUGGUUAAUGUAAUUAUGAUUAAUUAACUUAAUUAAUUUCUUAAUUAAUUAAUUAGUUAAAUUAUUAUUAUCUAUUUAUUUAUUUUAUUUAUUUUAUAUAUUAUUUUUAAUUCCUUUUUUUUAACAAAACGUUCUGGGGCUGGGGCCCCCAUGUCAGUGGCCCCAGGGGGCCUUAACGGGUUAGCGGGCAGGAGGGCGACGGGCGCCGGGGCGAGCGCUCACCCGCACGGAGUGUGGCGAGGCGAGGCCAGUGGCCAAGGCGACCGCGGUGGCCGGCCGGCGUGGGGAGACGAAGUGCGGGGCCGGCGACGAGCGAGCUCGCGGGCGAUAGAGGAGGCGCCGCCGGAGUGGGGCCGUGCGGACGGGCUGGCGUGAGGGGCGAGGCCACGGCAGCUGCAGCAGUGGGAGGCGCGGGCGCGCAGGCCGGCGAGGCCGCAUCGCUGGUGAGGUGAGGCUGCGCACGCGUGGGCGGUUGCGGGGCGCGCCCCGGGCGCGUCGAGGAGAGGGCGUGCACGACCGGGCGCACCUACAGGCGCGGUGAGCGCGUCGACAGAGGCGGCGGCCAGCGGCGACUACGAGCGUUGCACAGCGAUGGGAGCAGAGGAGAAGGGAGGGAACGGACGGCGGAGCUCACCGAGCCCUGUAGGUGUGCUUAAGUAGGCUCGAGGAGGAGUCGGGGAGGUCCGGCGACGAAGAGGGCGGCGGUGGUGGAGACGACGACGUCCGAGGCGAGCGCGGCGAUGGCGGUUCGGCGUCGAGAUGGGAUCGGGGGGGGGGCUGCCCCGAUCCAGAUCGGGCAGGGAGGGAGAUGAGGGAGCGAGGUGGAGGGCGACGGGGUCCUCAGGCGGGGGAGGGGGCACUCCGGGCGGCGUCUUGGCGGCGGCGAUCGAGCCCCCGAUCCAGAUCAGAUCGGGAGGGGGAGGGGAGAGUCGUGGGGAGUGGGGGGUGCGGUCGGGGGAGUUAGGGUUUUCCCUAGAGGGGAUAUGGAGGGGGGUUUGGGCCGGUCUGGUUGGAUGGCCAGCUGGGCCGUCUGGCCCAGUUAGCCAGGGGGCCUCUUCUCUUUUUUUUUGUAGUUUUGUUUUCUGUUUUUAUUGUUUUCCUUUUUUUAUUUUCUCUACUGUUUUAGCUCAUUUUAAAAAAAUAUAGGCCUUAUAUAAAAACAUGGUUUCUUCAUGACAAAUAGUUAGGGAAUAUUUUCAACACAUCAAACAUUAUAGUUUUGACUUUUGAAAACUUUAAUAGUUUUAACUUUAAUUCAAAUUUAGAAUUUGAAUCCGUUUCGAUCUAACAUGGAAUUAUCAACAAUAACCGAGGUGACGUGGCAUCAUUAACAUGGGAUUACUGUAGCCUGAUUACCCGGGCGUCACAGAGAUAUCGGGAUGAUCAAAGGGGGGCUUGCCUGGAAGCUUUGCUGAAAAAGAAGAAGUAUCGUCGUUGACGUAGUCGAUCACAGGGGCGGCAUCGGUCUCGGGGUCUACCGUAGAGAAGAGGGGGAAGAAACAAUAAAUAUAAAGCAAACAUAGCAUCACAAAGCAUAACAUGGCAAUAUAAUGUGCCGGGUGUGACCUAACGUAUGGCUACACGAUAAAGGUGAAGGGGGAAUUCAACCGGGAAUGUUUUUCCGGUUCCGGACCGGUGUCAGACAUAUGGUCGGAGGAGAAUGUUCCAUGUUCAGCAUACUAGGGGCAUUUGACAGAUGAACGGACCACAUAUUCAGAUUUGUUGGAUUUUUUUGAGCAACUUUCAUGUAGAAAACAUUUUCGUGCGAGUUACACUUUAUUUUCUAUAAAUUUCUAAAGUUUAAACAAAGUUCUGAAAUUACUUUUAAUUCGAAAAUAAAGACUAAAUUGCUAUGUGUACACAGAAGUGUACCCAGCUAUUUGCACCAGGCUGUAGGUGGGGUCUAGUUGACUGCUAAGUCAGCAGUCAAUUGAGACCAUUGACUAGUCAAAGGGGCCUGGGGACCCGCAUGUCAUUGACUGGGUUAUCCCAGUCAGCAGUUUGACUGGUCAAAAGGGACCAGCGGGACCCAUUUGUCAUAGGAACAUGUUAUAAACAGGAGUUUUAUUAGCUCAUUUAACUAGAUGGGGGGCACCAGUCAAUGUCUAUUGGCUAAAAUAUCUAGGCAAUUAGAUUAAUUANNNNNNNNNNNNNNNNNNNNNNNNNNNNNNNNNNNNNNNNNNNNNNNNNNNNNNNNNNNNNNNNNNNNNNNNNNNNNNNNNNNNNNNNNNNNNNNNNNNNNNNNNNNNNNNNNNNNNNNNNNNNNNNNNNNNNNNNNNNNNNNNNNNNNNNNNNNNNNNNNNNNNNNNNNNNNNNNNNNNNNNNNNNNNNNNNNNNNNNNNNNNNNNNNNNNNNNNNNNNNNNNNNNNNNNNNNNNNNNNNNNNNNNNNNNNNNNNNNNGUGGGGGGUAGUAAUAAAGGGGGAUUAGCUCCCACUAAUUAACAGGGGCGCGGCCUAGUUAGCAGCGGCCUCAGCACGCACGACGUACAGGGACGCCGGCGAUAGCUGCGAUGGCGCGAGGCCGUGCUCGCGCAGGCGCAGAGUGCGGGGUCGUGGCCAUGUGUCGGCCAGGAUGAGAGGAGCAGGUGCGGGGCUGGGAAGGAGGAGCAGCCAGCGCAUCUCGAGGGCGAGCGACGGGAAAUGGGCGAGGCGCGGCAGCCGGCGGUUCGUGAUGCGGGGCGGAGGGGCUCGGCGAGGCCUGAGCGCGGCGGCUGCAAGCGAGGCGCCGCCCAGGCACGACGACUGCGGGCAAGGCGCGGCCCCGGGCGUGCGGUUAGGCGAGCGAGGGCGCGCGUGGAGGGCCAGCAGGAGCGCGGGAAAGGCAGGGCGCGCGGCAGCCGCGAGCUCCUUGGGAGCUCGGGCGCGACGGCGGGAGCGACGUACGGCGUGCAGGAGAGCUAAGGGGGGGAGGGGAGGUGGCUCACUGUCGUUGCAGGGAAGGCCCGGGGAAGAGUCGAGGUGACCGGGACGACGUCGGCGAACGAAGAGGAAGACGAAGAUGCAGGGGAUGGUGUAGAGCACUCCAGCUCAAACCGUUCCUCGCGGACGAUGUAGGCGACGGUGGCGCAGCUGCUGGACACCCUUGCGAGGCUCGGGGAGCAUGGUUCCCGCAGGAUCUACGACGGCGCUCACGGGUGCGUGCUCGAUGUGGAACAAAUCGGCGAGGGAAAAGAGGAAAAAAGGUCUAGG